rnacentral:tRNA from 1 species
AGGGGUAUAGCUCAGUUGGUAGAGCGUCGGUCUCCAAAACCGAAAGUCGCGGGUUCGAGUCCUGCUGCCCCUGCCA